rnacentral:ncRNA from 2 species
AUGCAUUGUAGUUGCAUUGCA